ACGUGGCUCUUUUGUCAGUCAUCUUGGACAAAGUGUUUUCAUUUAUAUCAAAAUACAGCAUGCUCAAUGUCCAAUAUUCUUGAAUUUCAUGUACACAUCCAACAGCGAACAUCCGGUAUUAAGGCCAGUCUCACCUGCAUAGUCUUGAUAUAUGUGGUAUUAUCUUGGAGAAUUUGCUCAUGGCCCAGCUUAUGAUCUCAAAGUUUUGCAGCAGGAUAGGCAACAAAAGGAAGAAUUUAAGGCUGUCGAUGGUAUCGUUAAGAGCAAUCAAAAAGUCAUUAAGCAAGGAUAAGACAACCUUGGUACAAUGGUACCGUAUCAAUUCUCUUAUAUGUUAGAAGAAAUUCACAAACUUGAGACUGAAUUGAGUUACCUUACCACAGAAGUAAAAAAUUCUCUGGGACAAACUAGAAUUACCAAAUACCGAUUUUGGUUUGCAAUCUCAUACUCUGAUGCGUAGCGGUGGUGACAACGAAAGUGUCAAUUCCAGCGUUACCACCAUACAAACUUCAUCUCAACAAUAUUGUGCACAAUUAUCGAGCAACGUAGCGGAGAAUAGAACGUACGAGGGUUACCUAUACAAACGGGGCGCCUUGUGAAAGGGUUGGAAGCAAAGAUAGUUUCGUGUGCGAUUCGAUAAAGCAUUAACUGCGAUAUUACGACGUGAUGAAAGAUUCUCAUUGUAAAGGAUAUACAGAUCUGACGGAAGUAGUUUCGAUGUCGCCAGCAACACCGACACCAGGACCACCAAAGAAAACGACGAACGUACAAUUAUUGUCAAAAUUUCAAAUAGCCCGAUUUAUGAUUCAAGCAGGACACAAUUGACUCUGUGGAAGUUCCAAAGUCUUCAUUAUUUUUUUCUCCCCCUUUUUUCACUUUUUGACAGUGUUUCUUUUUUUUAUUAAUAUAAACUCGUUAACGAUAAGACCGCUUAAUUAUCUUUAACGAUAAUUAUUCUAUAAACGUUUAUCGCUUUUGUCGUGGACCCUUAUUUGAGCUUUGUAUUUGUUUUCUCUCAGUUUUCUUAUUUCACUGUAUUGUAUUUUGGAAUUUGAAAA